UACGUAGGUGGCAAGCGUUGUCCGGAAUUAUUGGGCGUAAAGCGCGCGCAGGCGGUCCUUUAAGUCUGAUGUGAAAGCCCACGGCUCAACCGUGGAGGGUCAUUGGAAACUGGGGGGCUUGAGUGCAGAAGAGGAGAGUGGAAUUCCACGUGUAGCGGUGAAAUGCGUAGAGAUGUGGAGGAACACCAGUGGCGAAGGCGACUCUCUGGUCUGUAACUGACGCUGAGGCGCGAAAGCGUGGGGAGCAAACAGG
rnacentral:rRNA from 1 species